rnacentral:rRNA from 1 species
UGAGGAAUAUUGGUCAAUGGACGAGAGUCUGAACCAGCCAAGUCGCGUGAAGGACGAAGGUAUUAUGUAUUGUAAACUUCUUUUAUACGGGAAUAAAAAAGGUCUUGCGAGAUCUAUUGCAUGUACCGUAUGAAUAAGGAUCGGCUAACUCCGUGCCAGCAGCCGCGGUAAUACGGAGGAUCCGAGCGUUAUCCGGAUUUAUUGGGUUUAAAGGGUGCGUAGGCGGUAUGUUAAGUCAGUGGUGAAAGUUCGGGGCUCAACCUUGAAAUUGCCAUUGAAACUGGCGUACUUGAGUACAGUAGAGGUAGGCGGAAUUCGUGGUGUAGCGGUGAAAUGCUUAGAUAUCACGAAGAACUCCGAUUGCGAAGGCAGCUUACUGGAGUGUAACUGACGCUGAUGCACGAAAGUGUGGGGAUCAAACA